rnacentral:tRNA from 1 species
GGUUGUAGCUCAGUGGUAAAGCACUCACCUAGCGAGUGUGAGGCAUUGGGUUCAAUCCUCAGAACCA